rnacentral:rRNA from 1 species
AUUAGCUAGUUGGUGGUGUAACGGACCACCAAGGCGACGAUUGGUAGCCGAACUGAGAGGUUGAUCGGCCACAUUGGGACUGAGACACGGCCCAGACUCUUACGGGAGGCAGCAGUGGGGAAUAUUGCGCAAUGGGGGAAACCCUGACGCAGCAACGCCGCGUGAAGGAUGAAGGUUUUCGGAUUGUAAACUUCUUUGAUGAGGGAAGAUAAUGACGGUACCUCAAAAACAAGCCACGGCUAACUACGUGCCAGCAGCCGCGGUAAUACGUAGGUGGCGAGCGUUGUCCGGAAUUACUGGGUGUAAAGGGCGUGUAGGCGGGAAUGCAAGUCAGAUGUGAAAUUCCGGGGCUUAACCCCGGCGCUGCAUCUGAAACUGUGUUUCUUGAGUGCUGGAGAGGAAAGCGGAAUUCCUAGUGUAGCGGUGAAAUGCGUAGAUAUUAGGAGGAACACCAGUGGCGAAGGCGGCUUUCUGGACAGUAACUGACGCUGAGGCGCGAAAGCGUGGGGAGCAAACAGGAUUAGAUACCCUGGUAGUCCACGCUGU